GUCCGUUUGUCCAGCGUCAAGUUAAGUAUGUUCAAUAUGUUAAAUAUCGUCAAAUUUUGGAGUCAGUCAUUGUGUCGGCCUCCCACUGGCACAUCUGCCUGACUCGCACUUUUUUUCAUGCCUCGCACUUUUUUUCAUGCCUCGCACUUCUACCUCGCAUGUUUCGCACUUUUUUUCAUGCCUCGCAUUGUGCCUCGCAUCGUGCAUCGCAUGCCUCGCUGCCUCGCACUAUAGUAAAACUCGUCACCUGUUUGUUAGUUUCGUAACAGGAGAGUCCAGAAAAAUGUCUAGCGU